rnacentral:lncRNA from 10 species
UAAAGACAAUGUCUAAACUGUGUGCAACACUGUUUUACCCACUGGGGACAGGUAAGUUUUUUGCUCUCACAGAGCUACGAAGAGAAUAAAGAAAGCAUAGAGGUCAGAAUCAUGGUUUGUUGAAUAUUUGAAGCUGAGGGGCUUCGAGGAGAAAGGUAGGAAUGAAACAACUUUAGAAAACAUAGUAAUGAGGCCGGGUACGGUGAUUCACUCCUAUAAUCCCAGCACUUUGGGAGGCCGAGGCAGGCAGAUCGCCUGAGCUCAGGAGUUCAAGAUGAGCCUAGGCAACAUGGAGAAACCCCAUCUCUACCAAAAAAAAAUACAAAAAAUUAACCUGGCAUGGUGGCGCAUGCCUGUGGUCCCAGCUACUUGGAAGGUUGAGGUGGCAGGAUCACUUGAGCCUGGGAGGUAGAGAUUGCAGUGAACCGAGAUCAUGCCACUGCAUCCCAUUUUGGGCAAUGGAGUGAGACCCUGUCUCAAAAAAAGAAAGCAAGGCAAGGCAAGGCAAGGGAAGGCAACACAUUAAUGAAAGAAACAUCUCUGUAGCACUGUAUUGGUUUAUUAUUAGCAAAACAGAGUAGUCAUGGGAUCUCCAAGCUAAAAUGUAGAAACAAUCCUGUUAUAAUUGUAGCUAUAAAGGUUUUAUUCAGCAAACUGAUUGUACUUAUACAAACAAAGGAUCUUGUUUUUUCCCUUUUUGAGAGAAUCUUCAGCAUGGGAACAUUCAGAAUAAUUUGCCCAGUGCCAGUAUGACAGAUAUUCCUAAUUACAAAUACUUUGCCAAAUUUACAAUGAGAAUGAUGAUUAAUUUGUGUCACAUAGAUUUUUUAAAUUCAUUCCCAAAGUGAUUUAAGUUUAUAUUACAAUCACAAAUCUUAUACUUUCAAAAAUAAUGCUCUCAAUAAACUCAUCCUGAAUUUUUCUUCCCCAAAGACAUCCACAUCAGCCACAGCAUAAACAAGACUUUCCCACUUUUCCCCUUACUGCUGUGAGUAGCAUUCAUUCAGUGUCAGCCCCAGGUCUGCCUCUGUUCCCUGUGAAUCAACACUCUGUCUAAAAGGCAGGCGUUGGAGGAAACAGACCUCCUUGUCAUAGACUGAAGGGCAGCAAACUACAUUCCUUCAGCCUUAGGCCUGGUGGAGAAAAUGCUUCAAAUCACAAGAGAGGUAAGGCUCUCAGAAAAGCAUGCAGACAUUUUUAAAAAUCUUGACUAAAAAGCGUGACUAGCUGGGCGCGGUGGCUCAUGCCUAUAAUCCCAACACUGGGAGGCCGAGGCGGGCAGAUCACCUGAGGUCAGGAGUUCGAGACCAGCCUGACCAUCAUGGAGAAGCCCUGUCUCUACUAAAAAUACAAAAUUAGCCGGG